CCUGAUGACAAUAGCGGACGUGAACCACCUGAACCCAUCCCGAACUCAGUAGUGAAACCGUCCAGCGCCGAUGGUAGUGUGGGGUCUCCCCAUGUGAGAGUAGGUCAUCGUCAGGC
rnacentral:rRNA from 1 species